GUGCUCACUUCAGCAGCACAUAUACUAAAAAUAUUGGAAUGAUACAGAGAAGAUUAGCAUGGCCCCUGUGCAAGGAUGACAUGAAAAUUUGUGAAGCGUUCCAUAUUUAA